UGUAGGUCUUACAGCUCCAUGACCAUGAUCAGUUCGUGGCGGACAAUAAGAAAACAUCGGCGUGUAUGAAUACUAUCGUCUAUAAAGGCACUAUGUAACUGUGUUCGUUGAAGCGUUGUCUUAGUUAUGCCAUUAAUCCUAUAUGUGGAAUAAACUAGUUUUUACAAAAUCUUAUAUCCAAUUUGAAUAAAUUCACUUCACGGACUAAUUAGAUACUACGUGUUUUUAAAUUAAAACUAGAUUGAGUUUUAUAAGGAUAUGCAUAAAUAAUAAUAUUGGAAGGUCUUUUUAUUUGGAUCAGCAAGUCAAUGAGUUGACUGAGCCGGUCCAAGCACGAUAAAUUGAGUUUUUUUUUCUUCAUGUAAUUAUUUUAAAGAUGUAAAAUAGAUAUCUUUGGUAACUUUAAAAAACAAAAAUGUAUAUUCUACAACAUGGACUAUUUUAAAUAUAAGAUAUAUAAAAAUUUUAGACUAGCUAACAUUAAGCUUUUUAACAAACUCUUAAACAUCCCCUAUAUAUGGGAAAGAGACGUAGAUUUGUG
rnacentral:lncRNA from 1 species